rnacentral:lncRNA from 1 species
AGUUGUAGGUUUAAUUCGAUCAAUAUAAGAUGUUCCGUUUUUAGUUAAAUAAUAUUAAAAAUGAAAAGAAACCCCAAACACACCCUACAUCAUUUAUACAUUGGUCAAUGAGACAGAGUAACUGACGUUAUCUCCGCACGUUCUUGCCACUUCUUCGCGUGUCUCGUGGGAGGCCAUCUGGGUACCAGCUGAGCACGUCUGGAUGGUUGCAGUUCCCAUUCACGGCAAUUGCCACGCUGUAAAUGCUGCUGCCAUCUGUGGGUGACCUGUCUGACCUCUGAGAAAUUUGUGCCAACAGCAGUGCAAAGCCAGUAUGGAGAUGGGGAAAAAAAAUAAUUUAAGUUGCCGUUGUCUCUCUGAAGCCAGUAGUAUUUUUUUUUAUUUUCUUUUUCUUUGAGGAAAGGUAUGUCACUACAUAAAUGGUAAAGUGUCCAGCCUUCAGCCCCUGUGCCACUCUGCUGCUUUCUGACAUGCUCCUGAGUGUGAUAUUAUUAAGGCAUAUAGACAUGCAAGAGCACGACCCUUAACAUGAUGCUGGCUUUUUACAGAGGCUGUGGCUCUGGUCUAAGACGAGCACGUAGAGCAGGGUUUAACUGGAUGGGUACAGCAGGCUGACUGCAAACCAUGCCAUGGCUCCAACCAGGGAAAAGCUGCUGGAUCUUUGGGCCCUGCGUGCUGGUACCAAAGAGCAGUGCUGAAACAAGCCCUCCAAUUUCCAAUGCGUGGAAGUUCUUGCUGCCCCGACUUUUCAGCUUCUGACCUAGCCCUGGAAAUCAGGUAUCAUACGAGACCAGACCUAGAGAGUGUCUGCUCCCUUGACGGGAUCUGAGAACCCCUGGUUUUAUGUAAUAUGUCUCUUCAAAUCUAGAUUGUUAAGUGGCAUAGGCUUGGGGGCGGGGAUAGGGGCGGAAGGGAAUUGGUCUCAACAUAAUUUUUUAUUCCAAUAUAAAACUUCUUGCUUUUACUAUUUAAAAUUUUUCUUUGCCAGUGGCUGACUAGCUUGAAGUCUUUGAAACACUGAGCUUUCUAUAAAAUCCAAAUAAUUCUCUGUAAAUCAAAGUACUUGGCAUGCUUGCUGCAAAGCCUGAAGGUUUUUUUUUCCUUUUUUUUUUUUUUUUUUAAGGUAAUCUCUAGAAAGUAGUUUGUACUCAUGUUUUCACAGUGAUUAAAUAUGCAAAGUAAUUUUCAUGAUUAUCACCCCGUUCUGAACCAAAUCAGAUGCGGCUAUGCUUCUCUUUGUACAAAGCCAGUUAUUGGAUCAGAUUCCAAAACAAAUCCCCUGAAUUUGGCGGAUCAUCAUUUU